GUAAGGAAUAUUGCACAAUGGGCGAAAGCCUGAUGCAGCAACGCCGCGUGGGUGAAGAAGGCCUUCGGGUCGUAAAACCCUUUUCCAGGGGAAGAGGAAGGACGGUACCCUGGGAAUAAGUCUCGGCUUACUACGUGCCAGCAGCCGCGGUAAAACGUAGGAGGCGAGCGUUAUCCGGAUUUAUUGGGCGUAAAGCGCGCGCAGGCGGCGUCUCAAGUCGGAUGUGAAAUCUCCUGGCCUAACUGGGAGGCUGCGUUCGAAACUGAGGCGCUUGAGGUCAGUAGGGGGGAGUGGAAUUCCCGGUGUAGUGGUAAAAUGCGUAGAUAUCGGGAGGAACACCAGUGGCGAAGGCGGCUCCCUGGACUGCACCUGACGCUGAGGCGCGAAAGCGUGGGGAGCGAACGGGAUUAGAAACCCGUGUAGUCC
rnacentral:rRNA from 1 species